CGGGAUGUAGCGCAGUCCGGUAGCGCGCUUCGUUCGGAACGAAGAGGUCGUCCCGAUUCAAUCGGGAUCAUCCCGA
rnacentral:tRNA from 1 species